ACUCGGCUAUACGGCUGCAAUACAGUCAAAUCGUAUCUACUCUAUUCCUACCUGAGCCUACUUCACGCGUGACUACUAUCCCUCUCUCUGUUAUCUCCGAGACCAGAUCCAAUCGGGCCGCCCCUCCCAUCCCCUCCACAGCCAGCCACCGUCGCGAUUUGGAGGCCUCCGACCAGAUCUUCCUCCCAACCACGACUUGGGUUGCGCUCCCCCGUCGAGCGAGCCCCAACACGGCUGCUGGCGUGCUGGCCGUCGAGCGAGCCCCACCACGGCGACGAGCCGACGACCACCACCUUCUCCUUCCCCUCCUCCGGCCAGAUCCACCCGGUGCCCCUCCGACGCUUGACGUUCAUAUCCAUACCGAGCAGGCGUUGUGGGCUUGCAAAAUUAGUGCGACUACCUACAGGCCGGUGUGGUGGAACUUGGAUCAUGUAGAACUCUAGCCAUGCAAUUUUGUUGUCGGUGUCAUGGAUUUUUUAUAGUUUGUUUGUUUCUUCCAGCUCUCCUUUCUACCUACAAAUUUCUGUCUGUGUUAUAAAACUCCAGUGCUACUACGAUGGAUCUUCGAUCUCCUAGAAUGCCAUCACUUGCGACCUUUGUUGUCGGUUGUUCGGUGAUAUGGAUUUGUGCUACAAGCCGUUGACCUCA